rnacentral:rRNA from 1 species
CUACAGGCGAAAAACAUAUGCAAUAGUGGAAGGCGAGACAGGGGUGCUGUGAAGUGAUUCCCGCUAAGGGGUUCUUUUGGCACAUUAUAAUAAUGGUGCAGAAUAAGGGGUUGGGCAAGUUUGGUGUCAGCCACAACGGUAAUACCAGCACCAUGAGUGGUUGGGAUGAAUAAUUGUGCAUAAAGCAUCCGUAACCGGUUCUGCAAGUCCUCCGUUAAAUCCAACCGCUCAACGGAUGGGCCGCGGAGGAUACUAUAGGACUUGGAGGCGGGAGAGGCAAGCGGUACUCAGUGGGUAGGGGUAAAAUCCUUUGAUCCAUUGAAGA